AUCCCUGUUGCGUAAUGGAUAGCGUGUUGGACUUCUAAUCCAAAGGUUGUGGGUUCAAAUCCCACCUCGGAUG
rnacentral:tRNA from 1 species